UCCCUACGGGAGGCAGCAGUGGGGAAUAUUGGACAAUGGGGGAAACCCUGAUCCAGCGACGCCGCGUGAGUGAAGAAGUAUUUCGGUACGUAAAGCUCUAUCAGCAGGAAAGAAAAUGACGGUACCUGACUAAGAAGCCCCGGCUAACUACGUGCCAGCAGCCGCGGUAAUACGGAGGAUGCGAGCGUUAUCCGGAUUUAUUGGGUUUAAAGGGUGCGUAGGCGGACUGUUAAGUCAGCGGUAAAAGCCCGGGGCUCAACCCCGGCGAGCCGUUGAAACUGGCUGUCUUGAGAUGUCGAGAGGUA
rnacentral:rRNA from 1 species